rnacentral:rRNA from 1 species
UACAACAGCCAUUGUUUCUUGGAUCUUACUUUCUACUUGGAUAACUGUGGUAAUUCUAGAGCUAAUACACGCAUACAAAUUCUGACGCAAGGAGGAAUGCAUUUAUUAGAACUAAACCAAUCGGGCUUGCCCGUUGCUUGGUGAAUCUGAAUAACUCUGCAGAUCGCAUGGUCUAGCACCGGCGACAUAUCUUUCAAGUGUCUGCCUUAUCAACUUUCGAUGGUAGUUUAUGUGACUACCAUGGUUGUUACGGGUAACGGAGAAUUAGGGUUCGACUCCGGAGAGGGAGCCUGAGAAACGGCUACCACAUCCAAGGAAGGCAGCAGGCGCGCAAAUUACCCACUCUCGGCACGAGGAGGUAGUGACGAAAAAUAACAAGACAGUUCUCUUUGAGGUCUGUCAUUGGAAUGGGUACAACCCAAACCCUUUAACGAGGAUCUAUUGGAGGGCAAGUCUGGUGCCAGCAGCCGCGGUAAUUCCAGCUCCAAUAGCGUAUAUUAAAGUUGUUGCGGUUAAAAAGCUCGUAGUUGGAUCUCUGGUCUUGUCGGCUGGUCUCCCUCAGGGUUGUACUGGUCGGUGGACCCGAACUGCUAGUUUUCCAUGUGUGCUCUUUAUUGGGUGCAUAUGGUGGCUAGCGCAUUUACUUUGAAAAAAUUAGAGUGCUCAAGGCAGGCUUAUGCCUGAAUAGUGGUGCAUGGAAUAAUGGAAUAGGACGUCAGUUCUAUUUGUUGGUUCAGAAUUUGACGUAAUGAUUAAGAGGGACAGACGGGGGCAUUCGUAUUGCUACGUU